UUCACAGAGAAAGGAUUAUUUGAGGACACCAAGAGGUGACCAUCAGCAAGCCCAGGAGAGAGGCCUCAGAAGAAACCAGACCUGCUGAUUCCUUGAUCUUGAACUUCUAGCCUCCGGAACUAUCCAACUUGAAUGCUUCCUGAUUAAAUAUAUACAGGAGUGAUUUCAGAGGAAUUUAAGUUUUGGAUCAUUCUUUUGAGAAAGAAAGAAAAGUACCCUUUUAAAAGAGACUUUCUUCUGCCACUGCCACUCCUGAGACAACAUGACCAAUCUCUCCCCUUCCUCCUCCUCAGCGUACUUUCAACAUAAAGACGACGAGGAUAAAGGCAUUUAUGAUGAACUACUUCCACAUAAUGAAUAAUUGAACAAAGGAGAGAAUUGUGAGAGUGAGAAAAAGUGAGACAAAGAAGAAAAACUAUAAAUCAGCAAAAUACAGUGCCAAGAGCUCUGGACCACAAAUCAGAAGACCUGAGCCCUAAUUCCUUUCCAGUCAUUGGAUUUGUUCGUCGCUUGCCAAAAUAGCAGCGAACUCUCUGUCAAACUGCAACUCAUUUUAUCGGAGCAAAAACUGAACAAAGAACUGCUAUCAUUUCUGAGGUCAGAGGCAGUGCAGCUUGUGUUACAACUCAAAAGAGUAAUACUCUGAAAAAAGAAAAAAAAAGAUGGCGCUGAAAAUAAACAUGUUCAGCAGCCAUUGUGAUUCAACUUACCCAGAUGUGCUUUUCAUGAGAUGGAGAAGGACGGAUGGAAAAGAAAAGCACACAAAUGUUAAUGGAUACAGUUCAAUCCAAAGAAAACCAUGGAAUAAAACAAGAGCAUUAUUUAAGAUGUGAGAAAGCUCAGGUAUGAGAAAGACAUGGUGCCAUUUUGUAUUUCAUCAUGACACACAUACUCACUGCGUCGAAAAGCAUAGUCAGGCUGAGG
rnacentral:lncRNA from 1 species